AAAACAAUACCAAAGUGAACAAAAAGUCUGAAGAAAUAUCGUUUCACACGACCUACCGGAUGAGUCUAAAAUCAGUCGUUAACCAAGAUUCAAUCUUUGAUACACCUAGAAAACAUAAACUAAGAGAAAAGUUUAAAAAAAAAUUUGAACUUUAUUUAAAAAAUAAUUGUGUUUGCUCGCAAACGAAAAAAAAAAAGACUUCAAUUUCAUCGACGAGUAAUACAACGUAGAUCGAAGAAAAAAUAGUCAAGUAACUA
rnacentral:misc_RNA from 1 species